CACCCUUUGGAAAGGGAAAUUAACCUCUUUUUAUCAGUCACCUUCAGCAAGUGACCUCACCUGUAACUUAGGGAUCCUAAAUAACAUCCACCCUACCAAUUUUAUAGAGUAAAUGAGAUCAAGUUAGAAAGAGUACUUGAAAAAGAUUUGCAAUCUAUAAAAUGUUCUGCAAAUGAAAAAAGCUAUUAUGAUUAUGAUUAUUAUAACUGUACUAUCAUUAGUAUUAUUUUCUUCAUUGCUAUUACUAUUUAUAAUAGAAACCCAGAAGGAUCCUUCUUGUCCAAUUACCUGGUCAAUGCUCAGUUCAUCUCAACAAAGUUUUGUGUGACAAGGAGCUCAUUAAUUCCACAGACAAUUCAGUCCUAGGAUUUUUACAAGAUAGAGAAUCUGAGCUAAAACAUACUUAUCAGAAACUUCACAAAAAGAGGAAGAAAUAAUAUAGGAGAUAUAGGUAUGUGUUCCAUGAGAUUCCAAAGCAGUUAAGAUGUGAAACAGCCAUCAGAAGGCCUUGGAACAGAAGAGAAGGGGCAGAUGUGGGGAAGGAAGGGACUUGUUGGGUGAACCUUUGCUUGAGCCUGUAAAAAAGAUCAGAAUUUCUCCAUUCUGGGCCCAGCCACUGACAGGAUUAAGCCUCUGUUAACCUGACCUGGAGUGGACAUGGGGGGUCAGGCUUAGUGGGCUUAGAGGACCUCUAUAAUAACAACAUAUUCAGCUACUUCUCAAUGCUCAGAACAUACUAAAACAUGAGGAAGUGCCUUGAAUUCCACACAAAGAGAUUAUAGGCUUAAAAUGCAAAAACCACUGUGAUAACUUAUGUCCAUGAGUCUCAACACCUGAUUGCUAAGAAGGCUUCAGGAAAGGAUGGAAGCAGUCAUUGUUCAGAGGAAUGAAUGUUUAUCCUUGCCACCCGUUAGGUCGCCUGCUGCCAGGAGUGAUCAGCUCUCUCUGCAGAUUUUUAAUUCAGGUGAAAUACAGAUUUCAAGUUACCUUGAUGAUUUACAUGGCAGCCUAUAGGAAGCAGUCAGAAAAAGUGUCAGGGACUCCUGGCUGGAAUACAUUCAAAGAGUUUUCUAAUUACUUAUUAUUGAUGCAACCCUACCAUGUCAGCUCUUCACUUUGUGAUUGAUUUUUUUCUUUUUAAACUAAUGUAUGAAUCCCCAAAGGAAAAAUGAACAGCAAAAUAUUGUGCUGAACUAAACUUACGUCCAAGGAAAGAGGCUUUGGAAAAACAAUUGGCUUGGUCAGAAGCUAGGACCCUAAAAAAUGGGCUAGAGGCCUGAGGGGGAGGUACAGAAUCUGCUGAUAAAAUGCUGAUAUUUCAAAACAUUUCCCAGGCUGGACCCUUAAGCGUAUCGUAUGUAGUCUCUAUUGAGUUGACAAACUACAGCCCACAGGCCAAAUCUGGCCCUCUGUUUCCUAAAUAAAGUUUUAUUUGGGGCACAGUCAUGUUCAAUGUAUUGUCUGUGGUUGUUCUCACCCUGGAACAAAGGAAUUGAACGGCUACAACAAAAACCAGAUGACCUGCAAAGCCUAAAAUAUUUACUAUUGUUUCCUUUGCAGAAAAAGUUUCCUGACUCCUGGUAUAUUUGUUUUUUUGAAAUGAUUUUUUUUUAAAGUUUAUUUAUUUUGGGGCAGAGAGAGAACCCCAAGCACGUUCUGUGCUGAUAGCAUGGAGCCCAAUGUGGGACUCAAACCCACCAACUAUGAAAUCAUGACCAGGGCUGAAACCCAAAGACAGAUGCUUAACCGUCUGAGCCAUCCAAGCACCCUUCCCAAUAAGUAACUUACAUCAGUAGGCACCCAGUUUGUGCACAUUGUAAGCACAUAAUAAAUUAGAAAGGGCGACAAAGUUUGAAGCCUAGUUUUUAUUCUCAAGGAACUUAAAAUCUAGUUGAGGAGAUGAAGAUAAGCAUACAUGGAAAAAUGGUGAAAAAUAAAACAUAAUAUAUAAUCAAGGGUUAAAUUUAAUGUGUGGACAAGCACCAGACUUUAGAGAAAGGGAAGGAGGGUGUGUGAGUCCUCUAGUAGUUGGAGCAAGCAGUAUUUAAUAUAAUAAAGUUCCAGGAUACCAUAAGAGCUUGAAUGCUCCCUUGAGGUCCACUGUAAUUGGGUUUGACCUGUAUUUCUACUCUAGUGUCAUUUAAAUCACUGAUAUUUUUGGUCCUGUGCUUAGGGGAUACCUUAAUGACCAGAAGUAUUUCUGAGUAACUUUAACUGAUUGAUUUUUCUGGGAUUUGGGAUUCCUUCAAUAUCCCUAAACUACAGAGAAUUUAAUUCAGUCAUAGUGGCAUAAUGUCUUUCUUUUUGGAAAAAAUAUAGUGUAAUGAUUAAGAACAUGAGCUUUAGAGUCAAAGAGACCCAGGUCUAAAUCUUGGCCUCAUCUUCUCCUAGCUAUAUAACCUUGGGGGUUCUGUUAAACUCUGGACCUCAGUUUCUUCAUCUACAAAUUAAGAACAAUAAUAAUGCCUACCUCUUCAGGCUGUCAUGAGAACUAAAUCAUAUAAUGCAUGCGAAGUGCUUAGAAUAUAAAGCGCUUGGUACAAAGAUGGGGCUUGAUCAAUGUUUAGUCAUUGGCCAUUACUUUCUUAAAAUUUUUUUGACAUUUAUUUACUUUUUGAGAGACAGAGAAAGCAUGAGUUGGGGAGGGGUAGAGAGAAAAGGAGACACAGAAUCCAAAGCAGGCUCCAGGCUCCGAGCUGUCAGCACAGAGCCUGACGCGAGUCUCGAACUCACAAACCGUGAGAUCAUGACCCAAGCCGAAGUCGGACCGACUGAGCCACCCAGGUGCCCCUUCUCCCCCUUUUUAGUUUGUUGAUGGUUGUGAUUCUUAAUUUUUAUCAUUGUCGCCAUUGCCAGUCUCCUAAUUUAUUUCCAUAAUGUCCUUGGGAACUUGGGGACAGGGAGCACUAUAUAAAAAAUGCAAAUACAGAUCUACACUUUGAUGUACUGGCAGGAACCUGGAGCUCUUUCAGGCUCUAUAUUGACUGUCUUUGGAGGAGAGGUAAGUUGACAGUUGUACUAGCCUUGUGGAUUGAGGAUCAGCAUCUAUAGGUUUUCACCUAUUUCUGUGAUGAUAGGAGAAAUCAUGUAGAAACAAGACCAGUUUUUCUUGUCUGUAAUGGGGGGUAAUAACACUUAUUUUUGUAACUGUUCUGAGUAUUCCUGAAAGAGCUCUUUGAAACACUUUAAGUAUUUUGAUGUAGUCAUAAAAUAUAAGGCUUUAAAAUCAGGAUUUGAGUGUCCAAAGAAGGCUCUCCUUCCUCUGUGGAUAAAAACAAUGAUAGCAUUGCUUUUUGUUUCCCUUGAGGUAAUUUGAAGAUUAAAGGACAGGGUGUUUUCUACAUUGCCUGUUGGUAAUAAACGGCCUUCUGCAGGGCUUUGACCUUCACUGCUGUUUUGGAGACUCCUAGGAGCAGUGGCCAUGACUCUAGCCAGCCUCACUCAUUUUAUUACAGGGUUGUUCCUCUGAGGGCCUUUAAUGUUAAUACAUUUUCAAAGAACAGCAAACACUGAAUCCAUUGUUUGGUUUUAGUUGCUUUUGUUAAGAAUUAUAUGGGCUUUAUAAGAAAAUGAGAAAAUGUCAGGAAAACAAGCAUGUUUAUUUAACCCAAAUAAACCAUGAUUAGUCUAAACAGGGAAAAUUAUUGUAAUAAGUAGGGCAGCUUCUGUCUCUCUCCUUCCCUGUGAAGUAGAUAGGAAGUAUUGGUGUAUUCAUUUGUCAGAUAUCCUUUACAUUUAAUCAUUUAUUCACUCAGUGAACAUUUGGUAAGCUCUUAUGAUGGAACUGGCACCGGACUGGGAGCUGAGAAUACUACAGUGAGCAAGACAGGCAUGCCAUGCCCUCCUAGAGUUUAGUCUAAUUGGGAAGAUGGACACAUAAACAGCUAAUGACAAUCAAGUGGUCGGUGCUAUGUAAAAGGUUUGGGAUGCCAUGGGAGCACAUGCUGGAGGCUCAAGAAAGGCUUCAGUUUCUUUAAAUGAAUUGCCAAGUAUAACAAAAUGAAGGUGUUGUAUAUCUUCUCUUUAGGCUCAGACCAGGGUGGAGUGGCCCUAAGAUUGAGAGACUGGGCCCUGGUCAUUCUUACACUAUGAGUUUUCUUGGGUGGUUUGAGCUUUUUGGUCUUAGAGAAGUCCUAGAGACUUGUCUGAGUGGGGCCGUAGGCAUCAUCCUAAAGCCACCUUGAUACCCUCUGGUCCUGGAGGACAGCCGACUAACUAAGACCCUCCCAAAGGCAAUCCUUUCCUCCUUAGGGACUACCAAGUCUUAGUCCAGGUAUUCAUCUGUAUGAAUAGUAUGUACUCGAACUACCAACAGUUUUCACCUGAUCAGCCCUCCCUUAUUCUCCUUGGGAUCUCCCUUCCCAAGGGGGCAGACUGGAUUCUCUACUUCUUCACACUUGUCACCCUGAGGCAGGGCAGAGGAGACCUUUUCAGCUAUGAAAGGGCUAGUUUACUAAUCAGUAGACUCUUCUGUACUCUGUCCCUUUCCCCAGUGCUAAGUGAUCAUCUUUAAGUAGGGCUAGCAAGGCAUACUCAUUGAGUUACAUUUAUUCCUUCUUAUUCUUCCUAGGGAGCUAUACAGCUUUUGUUCCUUCACUGCAUUUCAUGAAGUAAGCUAUAGUGUUGGCUUGUCAUAGCCCCAAUUUCCCUUCAAUGGGGCUAAAAACUCCAAGAGAAGGCUGACUAGGAGUCCACAUAUGGAGAUAUCAGGAGCCUCCUCUUUGCUCAUACCUGAGGUUAAGGAUAGACGAGGGACAGGGAUAAUUCCUAGGCAUUCAAACUUGAAUUGUCACCAAGAUAAGUAGUUUUAGCCUCUUCUUUGUGUAGAAGAAAGCUAAGCUAGAGGAAUGGCUUUUGUGAGGUUACAUCAGUUUAAUUUUUUUUUUAACGUUUAUUCAUUUCUGAGAGACAGAGAGGGAGGAAGACACAGAAUUCAAAGCAGGCUCCAGGCUCUGACCUUUCAGCACAGAGCCCAAUGGGGGGCUGGAGCUCAUGGACUGCAGGAUCAUGACCUGAGCUGAAGUUGGAUGCUUAACUGACUGAGCCACCCAGAUGCCCCAAGGUUACAUCACUUUAGAGAGAGCCUAGAGAAGAAGUUCUCAAGCCUUGGUGGAAGGCAUUUAAAAAGAAGUACCAAUGGCCAGGGCUCACCCAGACUAGUUCAUCAAACUCUCAGAUUGGGCCUUGGUAAAUCUCCUUAAAGUAAGUCUAACUGCAGCCAGGUUGGAAAGUCCCUGGACAGCAUGGCCAAAGACAUGGCAGCCUGUGUGCCAAAGACAAGCUUCCUAGGUUUGAAUGCAGCAUGGCCAAAGACAUGGCAGCCUGUGUGCCAAAGAC